rnacentral:rRNA from 1 species
UGCCAGACUCCUACGGGAGGCAGCAGUGGGGGAUAUUGCACAAUGGGGGAAACCCUGAUGCAGCGACGCCGCGUGGGUGAAGAAGUAUUUCGGUAUGUAAAGCUCUAUCAGCAGGGAAGAAAAUGACGGUACCUGACUAAGAAGCCCCGGCUAACUACGUGCCAGCAGCCGCGGUAAUACGUAGGGGGCAAGCGUUAUCCGGAUUUACUGGGUGUAAAGGGAGCGUAGACGGUGAUGCAAGUCAGAAGUGAAAGCCCGCGGCUCAACUGCGGGACUGCUUUUGAAACUGUAUGACUGGAGUGCAGGAGAGGUAAGCGGAAUUCCUAGUGUAGCGGUGAAAUGCGUAGAUAUUAGGAGGAACACCAGUGGCGAAGGCGGCUUACUGGACUGUAACUGACGUUGAGGCUCGAAAGCGUGGGGAGCAAACAGGAUUAGAUCCCCGAGUA